ensembl:lncRNA
CCGAAAGCCGCACGUGCUGUGAAGAGGAUGAAACGCAGUGCUGUGAAGCAGGGGCCGCGGGAGGGGGCCUCACGGCCACAGGAUGGAAGGCUCUCUGAAUAGUAAGAAACAUUGCCAUCCACUAGAUUAUAACCUAAAUUGAUGGGGGCCUCGCAAGGACCCUCCCCGGAGGCAUCAUCUGCUCAUUUGACAGAUCGCACUUUCGGAUCCCGAUUCCCAGAUCGCCCCUUCGGGUCCCGGAUGCGAGUCUUGCGGGCUCCCGGCGUCGCGAGUUCGAAUCUGCCGGCUGCCGCGCUCCGGUUCCGCGUGCUCCUUCCAGACGCAGCCGCAGCCCCGGUCCCCGGGGGGCUCCUGAGUCCGGCCGUCUCCCUCCCCAGCCCUCCCCGGACCCGCUUCCAGUGUCCUCCGCGCCUCGGAAGCGGGCGGGUGGGGAUGGAGACUCUGGGGACCCCCGCCCCUAAUUCCGGCCAGGGGCCCCGGACUGGGGGGCGCAGAGCCGCCGGGCCGAAGGCUCUGGAAGCGGGGGCGCGGCCGAGAGGCGCAGUGACCGGACCGGCGUCCCCACCCGCCUCUAAACUUAGCCGCGGUGACGCGCGGCCCGGCGAUCGCGGCUGGGCCGGGGACUCAGGGGGGCCCGAGCGGAGGGGGGCGGCUCCGCUCGGCGAGCCUCUAUUUAUAGCGCCCGGAGCCCGAAAUAGCGCGGAGCCGAGCGGCCGGGAUGACGCGGGAGCCGCCGGGGGCUGACUCACCCGGCCCCGAGCGGCGGCCCCCGGAUGAGGGGCAGUGGAAGCGCCUGGCCCGGACCCCACGCCCUCCAGGGCAACUCUUCUGCUGGGACAUCCCGAGUGUCCAGAGGUCACUGUGGAUGGAUGUGCAGCAAAAGGGAGGAUCUGCAGCACGCGGGACUGAGACAGUGCAGCCUGCGCAACACAAGAGACGCAGCACAUACACAGAGAGGGAAAAACUAAAGUACAGAGAGGUUCGUCUCUUGCCUAAGGCCACACAGCAAAGAAGCAACCAAACCAGGACUCCAACUGAAGCUUAUGUUCUCCACCACUGGGGCCGGCCCGGUGGCGCAGCGGUUAAGUUUGCACAUUCCUCUUCCUGGCGGCCCAGGGUUCACUGGUUCGGAUCCUGGGUGCAGACAUGGCACUGCUUGGCACGCCAUGCUGUGGUAGGCGUCCCACGUAUAAAGUAGAGGAAGAUGGGCACAGAUCUUAGCUCAGGGCCAGUCUUCCUCAGCAAAAAGAGGAGGAUUGGCAGUAGUUAGCUCAGGGCUAAUCUUCCUCAAAAAAAAAAAAAAGAAAAUUCUGUAUGUUUACAAGAGGCAAAAUACUCUGCAAGUUUCCACAGAGACCCCUUGAGCUGGGGGCCUGAGGUCUAGUUCCGGCCCUGCCCUCUUUCCCAGCCUCAGUUUCCUCCUGUGAGGGAGGGCUGGAGGAGAUGGUAUCUGAAAGCCAUAGAAACUCUGCCUUCAGGGUGGAGGAGGCAGGCCCCCAAACAGAUUGUAUUCAUUUCCUGUGCUGCUGUAACAAAUUACUACCAACUUGGUAGCUUAAAACAAAAGAAAUUUAUUCUCUGGAGGCUGGAAGUCCUAAAUCAAAGUGUCAGCGGAGCCACCCUCCCUCCAAAGGUUCUGGGGAGGAUCCUGCUCUUCUCCUCCAGCCUCUGGCGGCCUCAGGCGCCCUUAGCUUGUGGCUGCCUCACGCUGUCUCUGCCUCCAUCUUCACGUGGCGUCUCUUCUGAUCUGUGUCUUGUCACCCUCUGCCUUUCUCAUCUAAGGAUGCUUGCUGUCAGGUUCAGGGCCUGUCCCGAUAAUCCAGGAGGAGCUCAUCUGAGAUCCUCACCUGAAUAGAAUCCGCAAAGACCCUUUUUUCAAAGAAGCUCCCGUGCACAGGUCUCAGGUGGACCCAUCUGGGACGGGGCGGGGGGGGGGGGGGGGGGGGGGGCGGCGCACGCCAUUCAAGUCACUGCACAGAUCAGAACAGAAAAGUGAGGACCGGAGAACAGGCAGCAGUGUUGACACCGGGAGGCGGCCAAAGCUUUGGGAUGGCGCAGGCCCGUUCCAGCAGGGACGGCGGGCACGCUCGCCCUGGGGGACCCGGAGUGGCCCGUGCAUCCCACACGUGUGUGACAAGUUGUGUGCGCCCCCACGGCCUGGGCAUCCUCCACUUUGAGGAUGGGACGUUUUGCAAGGAGUGUUCAUUCUUCAACUUUUCAUGUGGACCCGAGAGAUUUUCUCUUUCCUGAAUCUCCAAUCAGUAAUAAAAGUCAGCCCUCAUACUGCCUUUAAUAGGUGCCAGGCCCUGUUCUCAGUGUUCCGUGCUUAUUCCUUCGUUUAAUCUUCACAACAUCCCUCUGAGGCCUUGUGGGUGGUUCCCCCUUUCAAGUUGGAGCUGCAACUUGCAAGUUCCAGAACUAGUAUCUGAACCCCGCAGUCUGGCUGCAGACUCCAGGGUCUUGACCGUAGCCACGCUGUCUCCUGGAGGCACACUGUCACCUGUUAAAUCUGGACUUUGAGGAAGCCACCCUCCAGAUCUCCGAUGGCGCCAUCAUCCAUUUCUGCACGGUCGGAUGUGGCAGCCACUUGUCCGCGUGUGGAUCUUGAGAGCUUAAAAUGUGGCUGGUCCAAAAUGAGAUGUGCCCUGAGGGUAACAUUCACACUGGAUGUAACGAGCUCCCAAGCACAGGAACCAACUCGAAGCUGAAGCAUCCCGCUGUGAAAGCUCUUGCAAUCUACGCUCUGCCAGCUCAGGCCCCCGCUGCUUCCUCUCCAGAUCUAUGAAAUGGGACGAGGGAUUGAAUUAAACCAGAAAGUCGUUUGAGAUGCCCUUUCUCAUCACUCGGGUUGCAGUUAAGUGUCACCUCCUCCGACAAAGGCCUUCCCUGCCUACUUUUACCAAAGUCUCCCCUUUGUGAUAAUUUAUCAUCCCGGUUUCCUUUCCUUACAGCGCUU